UUUAAUGUGUUUAAUUUUAUUUUUUCAGAGAAGUAGCUUUACUUUGGAAAUUGGAUCACAAAAAUGUUAUUAAAUUAAUUGAAGUCAUGAGUAAUGAGGAGAAACAAAAGAUAUAUCUGAUAUUUGAAUAUUGUGUUUCUGUGUUGCAAGAGCUUUUAGACUCAGUGCCUAAGAAAAAGUUUCCCAUUUGGCAAGCUCAUGGGUAUUUCUGCCAAUUACUAGAUGGAUUAGAUUAUUUGCAUGGGCAUGGAAUUAUUCACAAAGAUAUAAAGCCUGGAAACUUACUGCUUACAAACUGUGGAACUCUCAAGAUUUCAGACUUAGGAGUAGCGGAGGCAUUGGACAUUUAUAUUAGAGAUGAUACUUGUUUCACUAGUCAAGGUUCUCCUGCAUUUCAGCCACCUGAAAUUGCCAAUGGUGUGGAGCAGUUUUCUGGAUUUAAAGUUGAUAUUUGGUCAUCAGGUGUCACAUUGUUCAAUAUAACAACAGGAAAAUAUCCGUUUGAAGGAGAAAGCAUCUAUAAAUUGUACCAAAAUAUUGCUGAUUGUGAUGUUAUUAUCCCAAGUGAUCUUGAUUGCCCAUUACAAGAACUUCUGCAAGGAAUGUUGCAAAAGGAUCCUGAAUGCAGAAUGUGCCUUUAUGAAAUUCAGUCUCAUAACUGGGUCAAAAAGCCACCUGCAAAGUUGGGCCAGGGUGUACCAAUUCCAAUGCGCUCUGAUGGAGAUUUAAAUCGCAACACUACUGUAAUUCCUUAUUUGAAACUACUUCAUGGCUCUCAAGAAGUUUUAGAUUAUGAUGAAGAUGAGGAUUUAUUCUACAAAGUUAUUCCUUGAAAAAUAAUCCUUUUUUGAUGUGUAUAUUUUCCUUGAAUGUCUGGAAAACUUCAAAUUGUAUUUACCAUUACAAUAAUUCUACAGUUCCUACUGAAAGUGAUGCAGAAAAAAUUGAAAUGAAACAAUCAUGUCAAAGUAUUCCUGCCAGAAAGAAGCGUAAAAAAGUAAAAUGUGUGAAUAUUAGUUCAUGUAGGCAGUCUUAGUCUUAAAAUAAUUGGUGUAAAUUUUGAGUAUUAUAUUAAUACUUGUUAGAGCUAUGAAAUUUAUAAAAAUAAGGAUUGCAGGAUUUCCGGUGUAUACAGAUAUUAUAGUUUACAAUUUAUUCUUGUUAGUUUUUCAUAUUGAGCUUUUUUGUCUUGUGACAAUGUAAUACUAAGCAAUAAUUAUGUAUGUUGUCUGAAAGCAUUUACAAAUAUAUAUAUAUUCAUACAGUGUGACUUACAAGCUAUGUCAAUUAAUAUUUUAUCUAAAAAGUCUUUAUCUUAUAAUAAAUGAAAAUUCUUUCAAAAUGAA